AUUCUGGCUCAGGAUGAACGCUGGCGGCGUGCUUAACACAUGCAAGUCGAACGGGAUCCCAGGAGCUUGCUCCUGGGUGAGAGUGGCGAACGGGUGAGUAAUGCGUGACCGACCUGCCCCAUACACCGGAAUAGCUCCUGGAAACGGGUGGUAAUGCCGGAUGCUCCAGUUGACCGCAUGGUCCUCUGGGAAAGCUUUUGCGGUAUGGGAUGGGGUCGCGUCCUAUCAGCUUGAUGGCGGGGUAACGGCCCACCAUGGCUUCGACGGGUAGCCGGCCUGAGAGGGCGACCGGCCACAUUGGGACUGAGAUACGGCCCAGACUCCUACGGGAGGCAGCAGUGGGGAAUAUUGCACAAUGGGCGCAAGCCUGAUGCAGCGACGCCGCGUGCGGGAUGACGGCCUUCGGGUUGUAAACCGCUUUUGACUGGGAGCAAGCCCUUCGGGGUGAGUGUACCUUUCGAAUAAGCACCGGCUAACUACGUGCCAGCAGCCGCGGUAAUACGUAGGGUGCAAGCGUUAUCCGGAAUUAUUGGGCGUAAAGGGCUCGUAGGCGGUUCGUCGCGUCCGGUGUGAAAGUCCAUCGCUUAACGGUGGAUCCGCGCCGGGUACGGGCGGGCUUGAGUGCGGUAGGGGAGACUGGAAUUCCCGGUGUAACGGUGGAAUGUGUAGAUAUCGGGAAGAACACCAAUGGCGAAGGCAGGUCUCUGGGCCGUUACUGACGCUGAGGAGCGAAAGCGUGGGGAGCGAACAGGAUUAGAUACCCUGGUAGUCCACGCCGUAAACGGUGGAUGCUGGAUGUGGGGACCAUUCCACGGUCUCCGUGUCGGAGCCAACGCGUUAAGCAUCCCGCCUGGGGAGUACGGCCGCAAGGCUAAAACUCAAAGAAAUUGACGGGGGCCCGCACAAGCGGCGGAGCAUGCGGAUUAAUUCGAUGCAACGCGAAGAACCUUACCUGGGCUUGACAUGUUCCCGACAGCCCCAGAGAUGGGGCCUCCCUUCGGGGCGGGUUCACAGGUGGUGCAUGGUCGUCGUCAGCUCGUGUCGUGAGAUGUUGGGUUAAGUCCCGCA
rnacentral:rRNA from 1 species